UGGGGAAUAUUGGACAAUGGGGGGAACCCUGAUCCAGCCAUGCCGCGUGUGUGAAGAAGGCCUUAUGGUUGUAAAGCACUUUAAGCGAGGAGGAGGGUACUGGUAUUAAUACUACCAGCUACUGGACGUUACUCGCAGAAUAAGCACCGGCUAACUCUGUGCCAGCAGCUGCGGUAAUACAGAGGGUGCGAGCGUUAAUCGGAUUUACUGGGCGUAAAGCGUGCGUAGGCGGCUAAUUGAGUCGGAUGUGAAAUCCCCGAGCUUAACUUGGGAAUUGCAUUCGAUACUGGUUAGCUAGAGUGUGGGAGAGGAUGGUAGAAUUCCAGGUGUAGCGGUGAAAUGCGUAGAGAUCUGGAGGAAUACCGAUGGCGAAGGCAGCCAUCUGGCCUAACACUGACGCUGAGGUACGAAAGCAUGGGGAGCAAACAGG
rnacentral:rRNA from 1 species